UCCCAGCACCCCGAGUGGUCGGGACGUUUAUUGGGCCUAAAGCAUCCGUAGCCGGUUCUGCAAGUCUUCCGUUAAAUCCACCUGCUUAACAGAUGGGCCGCGGAAGAUACUAUAGAGCUAGGAGGCGGGAGAGGCAAGCGGUACUCGAUGGGUAGGGGUAAAAUCCGUUGAUCCAUUGAAGACCACCGGUGGCGAAGGCGGCGUCCUGGACCAACACUGACACUGAGGAGCGAAAGCCAGGGGAGCAAACGGG
rnacentral:rRNA from 1 species